AUUGAACGCUGGCGGCAUGCUUUACACAUGCAAGUCGAACGGCAGCACGGGCUUCAGCCUGGUGGCGAGUGGCGAACGGGUGAGUAAUGCAUCGGAACGUGCCCAUUUGUGGGGGAUAACUACGCGAAAGCGUGGCUAAUACCGCAUACGCCCUGAGGGGGAAAGCGGGGGAUUCUUCGGAACCUCGCGCAAUUGGAGCGGCCGAUGUCAGAUUAGCUUGUUGGUGAGGUAAAGGCUCACCAAGGCGACGAUCUGUAGCGGGUCUGAGAGGAUGAUCCGCCACACUGGGACUGAGACACGGCCCAGACUCCUACGGGAGGCAGCAGUGGGGAAUUUUGGACAAUGGGGGCAACCCUGAUCCAGCCAUGCCGCGUGAGUGAAGAAGG
rnacentral:rRNA from 1 species